UUUUAAAUUUUUAACACAAUUCUAACUUUAUUCAAAUUGCUUCUAAGGUAGGCAUAAACGCUGAAGACGAUUUUAAGAAAUAUCAUAGGCGAAGAUUAAUACCCAAAUGGUUAGAUGAAAAUAAUCAAACUCAAGCAGAUUUUGACUUGUACACAUUUUAUAGAAAAGAAUUUAAAAGCGUUAUGGAUACUUUUAUAAACAAAAUUAGGGCAUCAAUUGAACAUAUUGUUUCCAAUUUGUCACCCUUUUUCAAAAUCUUUAAUUUCCCUUUCACAUCAAUUGAAGACCACAGGGGAAAAAGGAUGAGGGUCCAAAAAACGAAAAAUUGAGAUAGACACGCCAAAUCGCGGAAAAAAUCCAGUAUUUUACGUCUAUUAUACCGUACCGAGGAAAACAAAUGAGAUGACCAUAUAAGGUGCGUUUUGGUAUAUGCCAUACAGGGGAAAAAAGAUGAUGGUCCACUCGAUUUAUACAUAUUUUUGUCUGCUUCACGUGUUUUUCACGGAAUUUUUAAGAUGGCUGAGUGUGAAUCUUCAAGCGUUACUAAAAAAAGGCCAAAAUUAGGUCGCGUUUUUGACUCGUACUAAGAUUGCUAACUAAGAUUGCAAACACAUGAAACUGGUAGCAGUUGUAAUUUCAAUGUUAAAAUGUUUUGAAGUAAUUGGUGUUCAAGACCGUUUGGCGAUUAUUAAAAACUUUAAUGAAAUAAAAUCCUAUAAUGAGCAGACCUUAUACUUGGCAGGUCUCAUUUCGCAUGAGCCAGUUAAAAGACGGCGCCAAAGAAAAGCUAACGAUGAAGAUGUAGUUUAUCACUCAUUCUCCUACAAAUAUAAGGUUCGAGUAAUGCGAGAUAAUGGAGCCAAAGAGAUUCCUGUUUGCUACAAAACAAUGCUGUCGUUACAUGGAAUAUCAGCGAAGCGUAUUCAAAACAUCCAGCAAAAGCUUGUUAAAGAUGGACAUGUUGGUGAAGAUGGUCUUGGUCGACAUUCCAAUCGACCAAACAAGUUACACCAAGAAACCACUAAUGCUGUCUUUGCUCAUAUUCGAUCAUUUAAAGUUUCAGUUACCCACGCAGUGACACAUGCAGCAGUUGCGAUGAAUAUAAAGCAAAAAUUGCAGAUCCUUCACAGGCUUCAAACCUUGCUACAUUACAUGUGACAAAUCAACUUCACCUUAAGAAGGCAGAGGCUUUUUAUCAAAGAAAAUGAUCCGAACGCAAAAGAGCUCAACAACACCGCCAUAUUGAAGCUAUUGCUAUGGAUUAUCAAAAAAACUUGCCACUGCCAAACAUUAGCACUAAUGACGUAUACUACAAACGACAGUUAUCCUUCUACUUAUUUAAUAUUCACGUUUUAGCCAGUGGUGAGCAUUUUUUUAUACGUACACAGAAACCGCCGCAAAAAAAGGAGCAGACGAAGUUGCUUCUAUGCUGUUUAAUUACAUACUCAAUGAAUUGAAUCUCGAAGUUCAAGAACUUUCGAACAAGAGAUUUUUCGAAGCUGGACUGAUCAUUUAACAAUGUACAAUAUGUAACAAAAUGUCUCUUUGAAACCCGCCCAAUCAGAGAACUGCUCAUAAAAAAGAAGAGCCCAGAAUGAUCGAUCAUCGUGAUUCGUACAAUGGAGGCUUUAUUUCAAGCGUCGUAGUGCCUACAAAAAAAAACUAGGAACUACCAAAAAAGGAAAAGCGAGGGAAUAAGCAGCCAAAGGCAAAUUAAAAAAUGCAGACAAUAUAGUUGGUAUAUUAGAUCUACCUUCAGGACAAUUUGAACUUCCAAAUUUCAAAUAUGAAAACAGGAUUCCCAUCAAUGCUAAGAAAUACCAAAACCUGCAGGAUUUAAAACGUUUUUGUA